rnacentral:rRNA from 1 species
GGGUACUGACUGCUUAUUGCACCACAUGUGUUUUUCUUUGAAACAAACUUGCUUUGGCGGUGGGCCCAGCCUGCCGCCAGAGGUCUAAACUUACAACCAAUUUUUUAUCAACUUGUCACACCAGAUUAUUACUAAUAGUCAAAACUUUCAACAACGGAUCUCUUGGUUCUCGCAUCGAUGAAGAACGCAGCGAAAUGCGAUACGUAAUAUGAAUUGCAGAUAUUCGUGAAUCAUCGAAUCUUUGAACGCACAUUGCGCCCUCUGGUAUUCCGGAGGGCAUGCCUGUUUGAGCGUCGUUUCUCCCUCAAACCGCUGGGUUUGGUGUUGAGCAAUACGACUUGGGUUUGCUUGAAAGACGGUAGUGGUAAGGCGGGAUCGCUUUGACAAUGGCUUAGGUCUAACCAAAAACAUUGCUUGCGGCGGCAACGUCUACCACGUAUAUCUUCAAACUUUGACCUCAAAUCAGGUAGGACUACCCGCUGAACUUAAGCAUAUCAAAAGCCGGGAGGAA